GAGGGGUGGAUGGUUUCAGGACGACUCAAGCGCAGUAGGGUUCCUGCCCCAGUGAGAAUCUGAUGCCCCCACUGAUCUGACAGGAGGUGGAGCUCAGGUGGUAACGCAUGCAAUAGGGAGCAACUGUAAACAGAGAGGAAGCUUCACUUGCUUGCCUGUUGCUCAUAUCCUGCUGUGAAAUCCAUGUCACAGGCCUUUGACUGGUAUUUGUCUAUUGCCCAGGGGUAGGAGACCCCUGCACUAGUCCACAGCAGGGCAGGGCUUCUGUUUGUCAUGCCUGUCCUUCACUUCUUCCCCUCACACUGGACCUGAUAGAGUGGAAAUGUUCAGUGUAUAUAUUUAUGGAACUGAAUUAAGUUUAAAAAUCUAUCAAAUGGGAAUAACAAUGACCUGCACUGCUGUACCGUCUCAUGGGGUUAUUGUGAUAAGCUCCAUAACCAUUACUGCUAACAUUUAUUGAGACUGGGCCCUGGGCCAACUACCAUUGGGAUGGCUUUGUGCAGAUCUCACUGUGACCCUGAGGGCAGGGCACCAUAAUUAUCUUAUUUUUACAAAUGAGGAAACUGAAGCUUGGAGAGGUUACAUGAACUAUCUCAUAUCACUCAGAUUGUAAGUAGCAAAGCUUGGCUCAGAACCCAGCCCAUCAGACUCUAGACCCUGUAUGUUCUUAAAUGCCACUCUAACCCACAUUAUGAAGGGCCAUGCUCUGUGCAGGUGGCAUGUUCAGGACUGUCAGGUAAAGAUAUAAACGCCUUCUCACAUCCCCAAGCUGAGUCCUUGCUUGUCCUCAAGUUUCAUGGCUGAACACAGGACCUGAAAGAGGGAUUCAGCUUUAUCUUUCCCACUGUAUUCUCCUCUUCACUUUAAGGAGAGUAUUUUCUUUUGCCAAAGUGGAACAUUUAGGAGAAUUCAUAGAUCCUACAUCACAACUGCCAUCCUGGUACCUCCACAGGGUUCUGGGAAAGGGAGGUGAGAGUCCAGAAGUCACCACUAGAGGGCUUCCAAGAGCAGAUCUAUACCAUCACCAUGGACUCCAGCCCCCAGCACCUGGACCCCCUUCUUCCACCACACUCUCACACCAGCUCCAGCCUUAGGCUGUGACCAAGUGUCCUCUGUCCCUGGUUUUGGGCAGACUCCAGGCAUCCUUAGGCUUUGGCUUCAAAAAGACCCCAGAUGCAGAGGUCAGGAGAGGCUGAAGUACGUGCUGGGGCCAGGUUGGGAGCCCUAGUGCCCUGGUCUCAUCACCAGCCUGUUCUAGAAGCUGAGGACACAGCUGAACAGAAGAAAAUCCCAGUGUUCACACAGCUCAGGCAAGACCCUGAACAGGCAAGAAAGCACUAAGAAUCCAAUGUGGUCAUAAUUGUACCAGUAGCUCAUGUAUGGAGUUCCAGCAAUGAGCCAGGCAGUGUUCUAAGCUCUCUCAUUAUAUUGUCUCCUUAAUCCUCCCCACAGCCCUGGGAGAGAAGACGGUCAUUAAUCUCAUUUACAAAGAGACUUCUGCUGGGAGAGGUCACAUGUCGGACAGAACUACUGGCCCACUGGCCCCAUCAUCACAGAUCUCUGACAAGUUUGCACCAGAAGAACUGCCAGAGUGGGAAGCCAGGGAGAUGGGGAAAAGUGAGGAGUGCCCUUCUGAGGACUCUUUACCAUCCCUGCUCCACCUCUGCAGCUGCCCCUCAAGCAUCCUGUCUCAUUCUUCAAAGCCCAUCACUGGAGGAAGUCUGCACAUUUCACCGCGGGCAGAGAAAGCAACCGGCAGCAGAAAACCAGCCGCAGACCAAGGCGUACACAUGCAAGCCAUUAUCUACUUGGAGACAGGCUGGCCUAGGACGGCCUCACUGGCUCAGGGAAGCUGGGCGGGUCCUCACCAGCAGCCCAGGGGCGACCCAGGAAGCCGCUGGCCUGCCACAAGCUUCAGCUGACUCAUCUCAGACUCCAGGCUGAACAGAAACCUAGUGAGACAUCUCUCCCUCCCAGUGAGACAUCCCAAAUAAAAGCCCCAGGUUGUAUACUCGCUACAAAUCCAAGCCUGGUCACUUGAAAUAAAUGAGUUCUGCAAGGGAAGGCACCACACCCGAUUCAGUCACCAUCAUGUCCUUUAGCACACAGCCCCAUACAGAGACGUGCUCUGCA